UGGGGAAUAUUGGACAAUGGGCGAAAGCCUGAUCCAGCCAUGCCGCGUGUGUGAAGAAGGUCUUCGGAUUGUAAAGCACUUUAAGUUGGGAGGAAGGGCAGUAAGCGAAUACCUUGCUGUUUUGACGUUACCGACAGAAUAAGCACCGGCUAACUCUGUGCCAGCAGCCGCGGUAAUACAGAGGGUGCAAGCGUUAAUCGGAAUUACUGGGCGUAAAGCGCGCGUAGGUGGUUCGUUAAGUUGAAUGUGAAAGCCCCGGGCUCAACCUGGGAACUGGAUCCAAAACUGGCGAGCUAGAGUAGGGCAGAGGGUGGUGGGAUUUCCUGUGUAGCGGUGAAAUGCGUAGGUAUAGGAAGGAACACCAGUGGCGAAGGCGACCACCUGGGCUCAUACUGACACUGAGGUGCGAAAGCGUGGGGAGCAAACAGG
rnacentral:rRNA from 1 species